UCCUCUUGCUGUUUAAUCUCCCUCCUCCUCCUCCUCUGAGUGAAUUAUUCUCUUUCUGGGGAGGGUGUCUUCCUUCUUUUGUCGCUUCGCCUUAACUCUUUAAGGAUGUAACAGACAUGUAUGUCAAGAUCGUCUGCAGUCAAAAAGGCAAUGUUGCUGCUCAUUUCGACCCAUCAAACAAACAAAAAAUCAGAAAAAUGAAUUUACAAAGUUCAAUAAUAUGGGUUUUUAUCUUGUUUUUAAAAUUUUAAAUUAAAGUUUCAGAUAAAAAAACGAGAAGUGAAAAAACCUGUAUUGAUCACAAAUUUAUGCUUUUUUUUCUCCAAAGAAGAGUACAUCUGAUAAUGUUGUCUAAUGUGCAUCCCCAAAGAGUUAAAUCUUGGGAACUUGAUCCCCCAACACUGUCCCUCACACUGUCCCACACAUACUCUUGCACACUGUCCCUCACGUUGUCCCACACGUACUCUGCACACUCUUUCCCUUAACUGUUAAAUGGCACUGACCCUCUUGGCUUCUGGGGCUGUUUCCUGUAACAGGUGAAAAAACUGACGGUCAGUCUCCAACGACUUCAGAGUUCUUCUAAAGACACGAGAGACACUCUCACUUCCGAGGUGUCUGACCGGCAAGAGACCAUCCAGAAGCUGCGUGGGGAGAACCGUGACAUCGAAGAGAAACUGCGGGAGGCUUUGAGCAGCGCCCAGCAUCGGGGGGAGAUGGUGAAACAGCUGAAGGAGGAGCUCAAACAGGCUACUGCCAAGACCCAGGAGAGCCAAGCACGUCUGGAGGAGAUGGAGCGAGAGAACCAGCAGCUUCAGAGUCGCUACACCGCGCAGGCAAAGGAGGUAACUGUGGCCAGACUGUCUGCUUGUACACGUACAUAACAUAGAUAAUGAUAGUGAUAAUAGUUCGUCUUAUGUACAGAACGAUAAUGAUAAUAAUUUGUCCAUCAUGGAGUGAUAAUGUCCUUUCCUCCUCCCUCUAUCUCUACUAGUUGAUGAUAUUGAUCUUUCUC